UUUCGAGAAUGCUUUUUAGUUUUUCUGUUUUGCUGUAUCUUUUAAAUAAAAGAUUUAAUCAUCAAACCGAUUUUAUAUCUAUGUUCCUGAUAUUUGUAUCAAUAAAACUAGACCACUCAUACUAUAUAUUUUUUUAAAAAAAAUAUGUACUUAAAUUAACAUAUAAUUAGUAUCUUAUUAACAUGUAAUGGAUGUAUACUAAAUAAUUUUAAAAAGUAAUUAGUGACUAUUUAUUGAUUUAUAUUUUAUUUAAUAGUUUUUAGUUCAACCAUCAAGUACUCAUGCAAAGCAAUCAAACAAAAUCUCUAAUAAACCAGACUGGCUAGAAAAUUGAACCAGACAAGGGCAUGUACACCUACUUGGCUGGCUUGACUCCACGUAACCUAAUUCCUAUGUACGGUUAACUAGGGAAGUAAACCAAACAACUUCAUAAUUUCUAGGGACUUUGAGAGAAAUGGCUUAGACUAUGUCCAUCAGUUUACCUAUGUAGUCAUCCAAAAUACUGUUUUGCACUAUUUUACAUUGUAGACUACAUUGUUCGCAAUGUAGUUUGAAUCUAUACUACUCUAUAAAGACCUAAUGAGGGCGUCCACCAUGCUGCACCAAGCACCCGCCUGCCUCCACCCUGCAACACCCCAGCCCCCAAACCACGCCCACUCCCCAUGCGAUGGCCGCUCAUCCCGCCGCCGCACCCACCGCUGCCCCACCGCGGUUCUGCAUCAACCCCACCUCCACACCUCUGCGGUGCCCUCGCCUUUGUCCCUCACACACGCCCGCGUCGCCAGCACCAUGUAGGCACGUGGAUCUCGCUCACGCCCGCAGGCUCCCAGACCCCGUCGUGCCCUACCCUCGUCGUGCCCGCGGAUCUCGCUCUUGCACGGAUGGACGCGGAUCUCGCCCACGCCCGCAGGCUCCCAGCCCCUGCCAUGCCCUUGCCCCGGCCCAGAACUGGCCAACUACGACACCGUCACGGAUGACUUCGCGGGCACGGCCGCCUUCCACCUCUCCUCUUCGGGUGCCUCACCUCGCCUCCGAUUUGGAUAGUUAUUCGUUUGUUUUCGUAUAUAGCUUGUUUUCGUAUAUAGUGACGACUGUUGUUGCUCCUGCUCCUGCCUCAUGCCAUGGGAUGGUGCUUAUGGUAUGUGUUGUCCCUAGUUGUUGUUGUAGCGAGGGUCGUGACGGGGCCGACGACUUGGAUCGGGAGGGGCUCUCCUAGAUCUGCGUAGAGGAGGGACAACAAUGCGUGCCUCUUCUUCGAUUUGAUUCAUUCCCAGUGUUCUUAUGCGAUUCUGAAUCCACGCCAGAUUCUCACUGUCAAUGAAAUUUGAAGUAUCUCACUGUGUUGCCCCCUAAGUUCAUCAUGAUCUUUAGACCCUACUCUGAAUCUCGCAUUGCUUCUGUACCACCUACGUCAAAAUUGCUUUGACUCUGUUCAUUCACUUCAGUGUCUUUUUAACUGAAGUAAUUUGUUUGUUAAUUUGAUGAAUUACCCUGCCAACGAAAUUUGAAUUACCUCAGUGUUUAACCAUCGAAUUUAUCCUAAACUUCAGACUCUCGGAAUCUCACAUUGCUUCUAUAUUUGCCUUAAAAUUGCUCUGACUCUGUUGAUUCACUUCAGUGCUAUUUUAACAUAAGUAAUUUGUUUAUUAAUUUGAUGAAUUUUGAUUUAACUAUACACUACAUGAUAGUGAUUUUAUCCACAUCUAACUUAUUCUCUUUAGUGUGUUUCAGGAAGAAUGCUUUACAAAUCCGAAUAUAAGUUCAGUACGAUAGUGCAAAUAGAGAGCAUCAGCACUAAAGAAGAUAGGGAGAGUUCAAUGCAUGAUGUUUGUUUUGUUGACACUGGAAGAGGCGACUAAUUGAGGCGGUUGUCAUUGCCACCGGUGUGCACACAUUCUUUGUCAAGGCCGCAUAUCUUGUCGAUUCAACAAACCAAGUUGGUCAUUUUCAGAAGGCAAGCUAAGUGUGAUGCCGCCACAUAAGACCAUGCCCACUGUAUUUAUAUUUUAUACUAAUUUUUAACGUCCAAAGGACACCAGAUGUUUCAAUGUUAAUGGUGCUAUUGUUAUACACUGAUGUUUUGUUCCUGUUUGCUUGCAACUUUUUGCAGCUGUUCAUGCUAUCGGUUUGGAAAGAACAUGUGGAAAGCCAAUCUCGGAUCUUGCUUCCUUCAGGGAUUGUCUCCAUCCUCUUGAUAGCGAUCUAUAUUGGUUAUUUCCGAAGAAGAAUCAAGAAGCAAUUCAACAUUCAUGCAAGUGUGGUACCAGAUUGAGAUAUGUCUGUUAGUUUGUAACAAUAUAAACUUGUUAGUUAUGUGUCAGAGAAAACAUAGUAACAAUGAUUUGUGCUCUAUUUCUACCCGUCAUUGUGUCCUAUCUCAAUGGUGACUUCUUUGUACACAACUGUGUGGUCUCUCUAUGUCCUAAUAAAUACAUGCAUCAUCAAUGAACUUAAUGGAUAUUGUCAA